rnacentral:rRNA from 1 species
AGAGUUUGAUCAUGGCUCAGGAUGAACGCUGGCGGCGUGCUUAACACAUGCAAGUCGAACGGGAAACAUUUCAUUGAGGCUUCGGCGGAUUUGGUCUGUUUCUAGUGGCGGACGGGUGAGUAACGCGUGGGUAACCUGCCUUAUACUGGGGGAUAACAGCCAGAAAUGACUGCUAAUACCGCAUAAGCGCACAGAACCGCAUGGCUCGGUGUGAAAAACUCCGGUGGUAUAAGAUGGACCCGCGUUGGAUUAGCUAGUUGGCAGGGCAGCGGCCUACCAAGGCGACGAUCCAUAGCCGGCCUGAGAGGGUGAACGGCCACAUUGGGACUGAGACACGGCCCAGACUCCUACGGGAGGCAGCAGUGGGGAAUAUUGCACAAUGGGGGAAACCCUGAUGCAGCGACGCCGCGUGAAGGAAGAAGUAUCUCGGUAUGUAAACUUCUAUCAGCAGGGAAGAUAAUGACGGUACCUGACUAAGAAGCCCCGGCUAGCUACGUGCCAGCCGCCGCGGUAAUUC